rnacentral:lncRNA from 1 species
UUUUGUUGCAAAAAUUCUUUGAUUUGAUAUAGAAAUAUUUUGGGGAAAUAUUGCCCUUUUGCAUUAAGCUAUUUUAAUGGUUGCUAGAUCAUCAUGUAUAGACAGCAGUAUUGCUUUAAUUUUUAUUUUCUGAUUAGUCUUUCUUUACCAUGAAAAGUAUACUUUUUGUAUGCAAGUCUGGUCCAUUUUAGAUGGUAAGGUUAGUUGUAUUUUACAGUUCUCUGAGAUUAUUUUCUGUGUGAUUUUUUUCCCCCUAUAAAUGGGAAUGUUCCACUUUGUAAUAACUUUUCUCUCUUAAGCCUAGAGAUAACCACAGAGCUCUUCUAAAAUAAAUGAUUUCAUCUAUCUUUGCAUGAUGUUUUGAUUUAACUUACAGAACAUACAUGUCCUCUAUAUGCAUGAUUUCAUUUGUUUAUAUAUUAUGAUUAUGUAUAUAGUAGGGUUAUUAAAGUAAGAGUUCCAAUUUUCACUGCUUUUACUCUGAAAUGUUCUAGCGCCUUAUACCUUUGAUAAUUGUUUCCCUCUGAAAGAACACAUAGUUAACACUUGAAUAUGAACGUCACUUUUACACACCACACUCACUUUGGAUGCUUCCAGAUUAGUUUUCUUCUAUUAAUAUGUAAGAAGGUACAUGAAAC